CGCGUAGGCGGCUUGUUAAGCUGGAUGUGAAAUCCCCGGGCUCAACCUGGGAACUGCACCCAGAACUGGCAGGCUAGAGUACGAUAGAGGUGAGUGGAAUUUCCUGUGUAGCGGUGAAAUGCGUAGAUAUAGGAAGGAACAUCAGUGGCGAAGGCGGCUCACUGGAUCGAUACUGACGCUGAGGUGCGAAAGCGUGGGAGCAAACA
rnacentral:rRNA from 1 species